rnacentral:lncRNA from 1 species
GUGCUCCUGGGGGGGCCCGGCAGCUACUUCUGGCAAGGUGAGACCCCCGCCCCACCUGGGUGUCCCCUGGGUGUCCCCUGGGUGUCCCCACUGUCCCCUGGGUGUCCCCCCCAUCCCCUGGGUGUCUCCACUGUCCCCUGGGUGUCCCCAUUGUCCCCUGGGUGUCCCCUGGGUGUCCCCAUUGUCCUCUGGGUGUCCCCUGGGUGUCCCCUGCCUGUUUUCCCUGUCUCUGUCCCUUGUCCCCAAAGGGUGUUAAGAUGUCCCCUGUCCCCAGGGCAAGUGAUGUCGGUGUGAGGCAGUGUCCCCAUUGUCCCCAGUGUCCCCAUUGUCCCCAGUGUCCCCAGCCAUGCUGAGGUGUCCCCUGUCCCCAGGGCAGGUGAUGUCGGCCACCCAGGAGCAGAUCACGGCCGGGAACUUCCCCGAGUACCUGAUCCAGGAGGUGCCGGGACAGCUCCAGACGCGGCAGGCGGAGCCCAGCCACUGGGGACAGCUACAUGGGUUACUCGGUGACAGUCGGGGAGUUCAGCGGUGACACCACGCAAGGUGGGUGACAGCGGGUGACAUGC